UACUCGAGUGGCGAACGGGUGAGUAACACGUGGGUGAUCUGCCCUGCACUUCGGGGUAAGCUUGGGAAACUGGGUCUAAUACCGGAUAGGAACCAUCUUUAGUGUGGUGGUUGGAAAGUUUUUUCGGUGUAGGAUGAGCUCGCGGCCUAUCAGCUUGUUGGUGGGGUAAUGGCCUACCAAGGCGGCGACGGGUAGCCGGCCUGAGAGGGUGUACGGCCACAUUGGGACUGAGAUACGGCCCAG
rnacentral:rRNA from 1 species